AAGCCUUUUAGAAAAUUUUAAUUCGGUAAUAGAAGGAGAGGAGAAAAACACUGACCUUGUUCCGCCCAUUGUUGAGCGAGCGCUAUCAGAAAGUUGCUUUCGCAAGCCUUAACUGUGUACUACUUCUCUCUUGAUCCAGCGCUCAUCGUCCUCGGCUGAUUUAAAUAUGGAUAUGGAAUGGUCUGAGUAUGAACAGCGUGAGGAGCGAGAUGAUAUUAAGGAUAGGAAGAAGAGUAGCCGAGGGGAAGAGAAAGACCAUAGAAGUAGAGAGCGAGAUAGGUCGAGGAGGAGUGGUGAUGACUCAUUGAAAGAAAGGGAGAAAGAGGUUAAAGAACCAGAAAAGGAGCGAAGCUCAGGCAAGGAGAGGAAGAAGGAUGACAGAAGUGAGCGUGAGAAAGAUAGGAGUAGAGAUAAUAAGGUUAGAGACAAAGAUCAUGAUCGAGAAAAGAAUAGAGAAAAAGAUCCGGGAAGGGAUAAAGAUCGUGUGAAAGAUAAAGAUCGUGAGAAGGAGAGAGAUGUUGAUCGGGGGCGGGAUAAAGAGAGGGGAAAGGAGAAGAACAAGGAUAGGGAUAAGGAAAGGGACAGAGCCAAGGAAAAAGAGAGAGAACGAGAUAGAGAGAGACAUAAAGAUAGGGAGAAGGGAAGAGAAAUUUACAAGGAUAUGGACAAAGAAAAAAUUAAAGAGAAGGAAAGGGACGCAGAUGAAGAGAAGGACAAGUCCAGAGAUAGAGUGAGCAGGAAAAGUCCAGACGGAGAUUACGAUCGGAGUAAGGAUGGGGGAAAAGAUGAUAGAUCUAGGCUAAAUUAUGAGAAUAACAAGGACAGGGAUGCUAAGCAAGGGAGGGCUUCGCAGUACACUGAAGGUGAACGAAUGGAUGAUGACAUAGCUCGUGAAGCACACCUAGCAUCAUCAGAACUUGAGGAACGCAUUUUGAAGAUGAAGGAAGAGAGAUCAAAGAAAAAAACAGAAGAUGUUUCUGAAGUUUUUGCUUGGGUUAGUAAGAGCCGCAAGCUUGAGGUAAAAAAGAAUGUAGUGAAAGAGAAAGCUAUGCAGCUGUCGAAGAAGUUUGAGGAACAGGAUAACAUUGUUCAAGGAGAAAGUGAAGAUGAGGAGACAGCUCAUCAUCAUUUAGCUGGAGUUAAAGUUCUUCACGGGCUUGACAAAGUUAUGGAAGGUGGUGCAGUUGUUUUGACACUGAAAGAUCAGAAUAUUCUAGCUGAUGGCGAUAUUAAUGAAGAUGUUGAUAUGCUUGAGAAUGUGGAAAUUGGAGAGCAGAAGCAGCGAGAUGAUGCUUACAAAGCAGCAAAGAGGAAAGUGGGGACGUAUGCUGACAAGUUUAAUGAUGAUCCAAAUGUAGAGAAGAAAAUGCUUCCGCAAUAUGACGAUCCAGCAACAGAUGAGGGCGUAACUCUAGAUGAACGAGGACGUGUUACUAAUGAAGCAGAGAAGAGACUUGAAGAGCUUCGUAGAAGGUUACAAGGUUCUUCUACAACCAAUCGCUUUGAAGAUCUCAACUUGCCUGGAAAAACAGCAUCAGAUUACUAUACUUCUGAAGAAAUGGUUCAGUUUAAAAAGCCCAAGAAAAAGAAAUCAUUGCGGAAAAAGGAUAAGCUAGACUUAGAUGCCCUUGAAGCAGAAGCAGUUUCUGCAGGGCUGGGUGUUGGUGAUCUUGGUUCCCGUAAGGAUGGGAAGCGGCAGUCUGCUAAACAAGAGCAAGAGAGAGCUGAGGCUGAAAGGAGGAAUAUUGCAUACCAGACAGCAUUGGCUAAAGCAGAUGAGGCAUCUAAAUCAUUACGAAUGGAACAAACUCUUCCCUCCAAACCUGAGGAGGAGGAUUCAGUUUAUGCAGAUGAUGAUGAAGAUCUUUAUAAAUCUCUGGCAAGAGCAAGGACAUUAGCUCUCAAAAAGAAAGAUGAUGCACCAUCUGGUCCUCAGGCUUUUGCACUUCUUGUUGCCAGCACUGCCAACAGCCAGACUGCUGAUGAACAAAAUCCUACAACUGGAGAGUCUCAGGAAAACAAGGUUGUCUUUACAGAGAUGGAAGAGUUUGUAUGGGGUCUUCAGCUUGAAGAAGAAGCCCAUAAGCCUGAUGGCGAAGAUGUUUUUAUGGAAGAAGAUGAGGAACCGGAAAUUUCUAAUGAGGAAGUAAAAACUGAGCCUGGUGGGUGGACUGAAGUUAAUGAUACUGAAAAAGAUGAAGAUCCCAGUAAAGAGGAUAAGGAGGAGAUUGUUCCAGAUGAAAUUAUUCAUGAAGUUGCAGUUGGUAAAGGAUUGUCAGGUGCAUUGAAGUUACUUAAAGAGAGAGGAACGCUGAAAGAAAGUAUUGAUUGGGGUGGCAGAAAUAUGGACAAAAAGAAAAGCAAACUUGUUGGCAUUGUUGGGGAUGAUGAUGAUGAUGAGCCAAAGAAGGGGAUGCAACCACCCCGCCAAAAGAAGGAUGAGACUCGUACUUCAUCUUUGGGCCAUUCAAAGGAGACUCACCCACCUAAAGUCUAUCAUGAAAGGGACAUCCGCAUUGAAAGGACUGAUGAAUUUGGGCGUAUUCUGACUCCAAAGGAAGCCUUUCGGAUUCUUUCUCAUAAGUUCCAUGGAAAGGGACCUGGCAAAAUGAAACAAGAAAAGCGCAUGAAGCAAUUCCAUGAAGAGUUGAAGUUGAAGCAGAUGAAGAGUUCGGAUACGCCAUCAUUGUCUGUGGAGCGGAUGAGAGAAGCUCAGGCUCAAUUAAAGACUCCGUAUCUUGUCCUUAGUGGUCAUGUCAAACCAGGACAAACUAGUGAUCCUAGAAGUGGUUUUGCUACUGUGGAGAAGGAUCUCCCUGGAGGAUUAACUCCCAUGCUUGGUGAUAGAAAGGUUGAACAUUUUCUCGGAAUAAAGCGGAAACCCGAGGCUACCAGUUCAGGAACCCCGAAGAAGGGGAAACCCUAAAUAGAAUUUUGAAGCUGAUUGCAUACAAUGCUUGGGCUUGGGUUUGGCAUAUCAACAAUUUGGCUCCUGUGAGUUGCGCAAGUCACAUUGGGUUUGGCAUAUUCUAAACUAUUUUUGGUUCGUGAAGCAUUACCUGUUUCUGCUGUUGACUGUAAAUUCACGUCCCAAUUUGAGAAAAAGAAGAGCUGUGGAGAAAUCUUUUGGUUAAAUUCACCACUCAGUUCAGGGCUCAUAAGUCAGGCUUUCGGCUUCCCGUUUGACCGAAUCAAACAGUACUGAAGACAGGUAUCUUUCUCCGAAGCUAGCAAAAAUGACCUGCAUAAACAUGUUUGUAUAUGAAUUCAAGAAGUCCCAAUUAGCCUAAGGUAAGGUCCAACUAAAAUAUAUAUAUAUAUAUAUAUAUAUUUAUAUACACGAGAGAUCAAACUUACAACAAUGAGUUUCCCUGCGUUUUCUGGCCUCUUUGCUAUCUUAAUUGCAGCCGCAGCUGUGGCCCCUGAUGAUAUUCCUACCUGCAAACAUAUAAUAUAAUUCCAUCAAUUAUACCAGUUUUGGGAAAGAAACUAUGGUGAUUUUUAACUUCUGUGCUAUAAAGAAGCCAAGUGCGAUAUUUUUUUUAGCAGAAAAUGUUAGUUGUUAACUCACUACUAAAGUCUUUUUUAGAGUAGAUAACUUACCAGUAAACCUUCUUUCAGUGCAAUAAGCUUUGCAGUUUCAAUCGCUUCCUCGCUUGAUAUCUGCGAAAAAUCCGACACUUCUAUAUGUUAGACAAUAUCUUAGACUCAACGUGUCACAAGAAUUCUGUGUGUGUGUGUGUGUGUGAAAGCAUCAGAUGUUGAAGGUUGCUAUAGCAAUUUAUGGACUGGGUAGCAAUAUCUCAUCGUGCAAACCAAUAACUAUAAUGAAACAAAUCAGUAAUCUCUUGAGCUACAUUAUAUGAUUUUAUAAAAUUCUUCAAAUGGAAGUUCUAAGACUACGGAGUAUUUGAGGCUUA